UAGGGAAUCUUCGGCAAUGGACGAAAGUCUGACCGAGCAACGCCGCGUGAGUGAAGAAGGUUUUCGGAUCGUAAAACUCUGUUGUUAGAGAAGAACAAGGACGUUAGUAACUGAACGUCCCCUGACGGUAUCUAACCAGAAAGCCACGGCUAACUACGUGCCAGCAGCCGCGGUAAUACGUAGGUGGCAAGCGUUGUCCGGAUUUAUUGGGCGUAAAGCGAGCGCAGGCGGUUUCUUAAGUCUGAUGUGAAAGCCCGCGGCUCAACCGGGGAGGGUCAUUGGAAACUGGGAGAUGUGAGUGCAGAAGAGGAGAGUGGAAUUCCAUGUGUAGAGGUGAAAUGCGUAGAUAUAUGGAGGAACACCAGUGGCGAAGGCGGCUCUCUGGUCUGUAACUGACGCUGAGGCUCGAAAGCGUGGGGAGCAAACAGG
rnacentral:rRNA from 1 species